rnacentral:lncRNA from 1 species
GGGGAAAGACUUGGUCAUGGAUGGGUUUUCCAGUCAUGGAUUUGGUCAUGGAUGCGGUCAUGGAUCCGGCCAUAAUUUGCCAUCAAGUCAUGGAUUUGGUCAUGUAUGUGGUCAUGGAUCCGGUCAUAAUUUGUCAUUAAGUCAUGGAUCCGGUCAUGGAUCAGUUCAUAGUUUGCAUAAGCAAGUGCAGGAUAUGACUGGUUGGGGUCAUGAAAUGCGUGGUCAUGAUGUCAUUUAUGAUGGGAUUUAUGACAGGUCAUGGGACCGCAAUAUGACCGUAUUCAGUCAUGGCUGCACUUUAUGACCCCAUGAGGUCAUAAAGGUGGUCAUGUACCUGCUCAUAAAUAUGCGGAACAUGACCAGGUCAUAUUGUGCAUGGUAUUCCAUGAUGCAACAAUGCAGGCCAUGACCACCCUGGCCCAUGUUUUGCACUCAUUCCAUGAGUCGUACACUGCAUUCCAUGACCACCCUGGCCCAUGUUUUGCUUGGUUUACAUGACGCGUACACUGCAUUCCAUGACCACAUUGGCACAUGUUUUACAUUGUUUACAUGAGUCAUACACUGCACUCCAUGACCACCCCUGGCCCAUGUUUUGCGCACAUCCCAGAAGUUGUUCACUGUGGGCUUAUAAGUCAUGACCAGCAACCCAUCAAUAUGUGGGCUCCAGACUCCAAGUCUGCUAUCGCAAAUAAAUGUAUGUACUCCAACACUCCACACCGUUAAGGUGACAAACCUCAAUGUUUCAGUGGAUCAAUCAGGUAAAUCACCCACCAGUAGCAUCCUAUAAAGUAAGCCAGAUUACCUGCAGCUCAACUACAUUCCUGAACCACAACUGCCUUCCAUUAUCAAUAUCAUAACUAUGAACUUCACUCCUUGCAGGUCUCAAUCCGUAAACCUUCAGGGACUUAAGUGUGUGCCCUGGCAGCUUGUUUCACUGCAGCAAGCUCAGCCCGCAUCUGGUGAGCAGUGAUGGCGGUGCACCACAUGGUUUCAUGGUCAGGCAUCCCAUAUGCACCACCACCAGUGCCACCCGUCGCCAUGGUGUCCCCAUACUCUGCAAUGACAUCGUCAAGUCUCUCGCCAAUCAGGUCCUCCAGGUAGUCACCCUCUGGCUCACAACCAGCUGGCCCCAUAAUUGUUUUGCCAGCAAUCACAGCCGCUUCCGGUGCAGCCAUGGCCAUCUGAGCUGAGACCUGCUAGCAGAACAUCAAGAUGUGAGCAUAUGUAAGACCCAAAAUGCAUGAUACUGGUGCCCUGCGAUGUUCAGGAACCUACAAGCAACUGCAUGACAUGUGCCAUGGAUACAUCCACAAUGACAUGUCAUAAUACAUCAUACCCAUAACCCAUACCCCGCGUACCUGCUGCUGCUUCGGUGGCACCACUGUUCAUCUCACCCAUCAUGACGGCUGGGGCCGUGGCAGGGGUCUGGCAGGAUCCCUGCAAAUGCAGCAUAUGGGCCGAAUUGAUAUAGUCUGUUGGAAUAAUAGUUUAGCAGCUGGAGGGAUGCUCGGGGGGCCCUUCCUCGUCCAUUCACCCGGACAUCCGAAGAGACGGAGGGUUCAGAAAUCACCACCUUUCCAGCGUGCAACCUGAUCAAUCAACUUUAAAAUCAACUCCACAUCUCAGCAGCUAGCUUACCCUCGUUCCCCCGAACUUGGGGAUCUCCCCGGGAAUCCAACCCUGGAUCUUAAACCGCUAAACACAGUAGAGUCAGCCCAGAACUAUUUAACAACAUGUACUUACAGCUGCCUUGGCAUUCACAUAUGCCACUCGGAUGAUCGAUGCCAUGAUUGCCCGCUUCUUCUUUUCAAGGCACGCCUGGCUGAUCCUCCAGUACUCCAAUGCAGACUUGGACAGCACAUCUGCGUGUUAUACAAGGAGUUGUGCAGUUAUGUGGGGUUUCCAAGCAUGCAACUGCAGCUGCAAUAAAUGCCACACUUACAGUUUGUGUGGCAGUACACAAACUCGAUGGCAUCCUUCCACUUANNNNNNNNNNNNNNNNNNNNNNNNNNNNNNNNNNNNNNNNNNNNNNNNNNUCACCCACCAGUAGCAUCCUAUAAAGUAAGCCAGAUUACCUGCAGCUCAACUACAUUCCUGAACCACAACUGCCUUCCAUUAUCAAUAUCAUAACUAUGAACUUCACUCCUUGCAGGUCUCAAUCCGUAAACCUUCAGGGACUUAAGUGUGUGCCCUGGCAGCUUGUUUCACUGCAGCAAGCUCAGCCCGCAUCUGGUGAGCAGUGAUGGCGGUGCACCACAUGGUUUCAUGGUCAGGCAUCCCAUAUGCACCACCACCAGUGCCACCCGUCGCCAUGGUGUCCCCAUACUCUGCAAUGACAUCGUCAAGUCUCUCGCCAAUCAGGUCCUCCAGGUAGUCACCCUCUGGCUCACAACCAGCUGGCCCCAUAAUUGUUUUGCCAGCAAUCACAGCCGCUUCCGGUGCAGCCAUGGCCAUCUGAGCUGAGACCUGCUAGCAGAACAUCAAGAUGUGAGCAUAUGUAAGACCCAAAAUGCAUGAUACUGGUGCCCUGCGAUGUUCAGGAACCUACAAGCAACUGCAUGACAUGUGCCAUGGAUACAUCCACAAUGACAUGUCAUAAUACAUCAUACCCAUAACCCAUACCCCGCGUACCUGCUGCUGCUUCGGUGGCACCACUGUUCAUCUCACCCAUCAUGACGGCUGGGGCCGUGGCAGGGGUCUGGCAGGAUCCCUGCAAAUGCAGCAUAUGGGCCGAAUUGAUAUAGUCUGUUGGAAUAAUAGUUUAGCAGCUGGAGGGAUGCUCGGGGGGCCCUUCCUCGUCCAUUCACCCGGACAUCCGAAGAGACGGAGGGUUCAGAAAUCAC